CAGCACCUCAAGUGGUCAGGAUGAUUAUUUGGCCUAAAGCAUCCGUAGCCGGCGCUGUAAGUUUUCGGUUAAAUCUGUACGCUCAACGUACAGGCUGCCGGGAAUACUGCAGAGCUAGGGAGUGGGAGAGGUAGACGGUACUCGGUAGGAAGGGGUAAAAUCCUUUGAUCUAUUGAUGACCACCUGUGGCGAAGGCGGUCUACCAGAACACGUCCGACGGUGAGGGAUGAAAGCUGGGGGAGCAAACCGGAUUAGAUACCCGAGUAGUCC
rnacentral:rRNA from 1 species